rnacentral:rRNA from 1 species
CUUAAAUUGAAGAGUUUGAUCAUGGCUCAGAUUGAACGCUGGCGGCAGGCCUAACACAUGCAAGUCGAGCGGAAACGAGUUAACUGAACC